rnacentral:rRNA from 1 species
UCAGCCGGUACUCCGAAUGCACUAGAGUUUAGUUUGAUCAUGGCUCAGAAUCACGCUGGUGGCGUGCCUAACACAUGCAAGUCGAACGCGAAAGUCCGCAAGGGAUCAGUAGAGUGGCAAACGGGUGAGUAACGCGUGGGCGACCUACCUUCGAGUGGGGGAUAACCUUCCGAAAGGAGGGCUAAUACCGCAUGACAUCCCGUGUUUGGAUACACGGAAAUCAAAGUCGGGGAUCGUAAGACCUGACGCUUGAAGAGGGGCCCGCGUCCGAUUAGCUAGUUGGUGGGGUAACGGCUCACCAAGGCUCCGAUCGGUAUCCGGCCUGAGAGGGCGGACGGACACACUGGAACUGAGACACGGUCCAGACUCCUACGGGAGGCAGCAGUGGGGAAUUGUUCGCAAUGGGCGCAAGCCUGACGACGCAACGCCGCGUGGAGGAUGAAGACCUUCGGGUCGUAAACUCCUUUCGACCGAGAUGAAUUCUCGCUGACCUAACACGUCGGCGGGGUGACAGUAUCGAGGGAAGCAGCCCCGGCUAACUCCGUGCCAGCAGCCGCGGUAAUACGGGGGGGGCAAGCGUUGUUCCGGAAUUACUGGGCGUAAACGGGUUCGUAGUGNGNCAACUAAGUCAGACGUUGAAAUUCCCUCAAGUUUAUGGGGAACCUGGCCGUUNUGCAGGANUGGANUGGCUUUGACAUUGCACGGAGAAGCGAACGCCGGAUUCCAGUGUAGCGGGUGAACUGCGUUAGCANAUCUGGAGAACCCCGUGGNNCAAGGCGGGCGUUCUGACCUGGCUAUGACCUUGAGAGGAACGACAGCAGGGGACAACGGUAUCCCGGAUCUGCUUACAUAUG